rnacentral:rRNA from 1 species
CUACGGAGGAUGCAAGCGUUAUCCGGAUUUAUUGGGUUUAAAGGGUGCGUAGGCUGUUCGGAAAGUCAGGGGUGAAAGCCCGGCGCCUAACGCCGGAACUGCCUUUGAUACUUCCGAGCUGGAAUACGGAUGCCGUGGGAGGAAUGAGUAGUGUAGCGGUGAAAUGCAUAGAUAUUACCCAGAACACCGAUUGCGAAGGCAUCUCACGAAUCCGUCAUUGACGCUGAGGCACGAAAGCGUGGGGAUCAAACAGGAUUAGAUACCCUGGUAGUCCACGCAGUAAACGAUGAUGACUAACCGUCGGCGAUACACAGUCGGUGGCCAAGCGAAAGCGAUAAGUCAUCCACCUGGGGAGUACGUUCGCAAGAAUGAAACUCAAAUGAAUUGACGGGG